CACUGCAUGCACACAUAGACACAAAAUACUAAGUGUAAAAUAAAAUUAUACAUCAAUUAGUCCUUAUUAUCAUUUUUGUGAAGGUCACAUUUACUCUAUAGAGAGCUUAAGCCUUAUUUCUUUUUGUUUGUUUGUUUGUUUGUUUGUUUGUUUGUUUGUUUUCCCCCAUACUGACCAAAGAUGACGAAGGUCUGGGAAGGGCAGGUGUCCAUAUUCCCUGGGUCUUUCUACUGACCGCCAUUGGUUUACCACCAUGGCAUCUGUCUAGUGUGCCACCAGCCUGUACAUGGACACACUCCUUUUUAAAACGUUGAGCUCUACCGCCAUCUAGGGACUCUUCUUUCACACCCAUUUUGUUUAGACUUUACCAAGCUUCUUCCAAGGAAAUGCAGCAUCAAGGAAAAAGGUGACCGCUCUUGGUGUGCCAUUAAUUAAUAUUUCAGAUUUAUUUAUUUAUUUUACUUUGUGUGUGUAUAAGCUUAGUCUGCAUGUAUGUAUGUGAACCAUAUAUGUACCUAAUACCCAUGGAGGCCAAAAGAGGGCCACUAAAUCCCUGGAAACCAGAGUUACAGCGUGUUAUAAGCUGCCAUUUGGAGGCUGGAUGUCAGCAUCCAGAUCCUCUGCAAGAGCAGCUAGUACUCUUAACCUCUGAGCCAUCUCUCGGUAUGUAAUUUUUAUGUGCUUCAAUAAAAUUGUUCACUCCCUUCUGGGUGCUUAGAAUGUGUUGGAAGAAAAUGCAUGCUUCCUAUUACGACGUUCUACAGCCCCACUAAUGAGGCUGGCAGGGGGAUUUCUGUCUGUGGCAGUCGAUGUGUUGGAAAUGCUUAGGAUACAGAGCAACCUCAGAGAGACAGAAGUGCUGGAAUCAUGACUUUUAAAGCUCAAUUAGCAAACAGGUCUCAGUGGAGAGUGCUGGCUCGCCACAAUCUCUAUCAAAUUACUUCCUUUCGAGUGACUUGACAAACAUGUGACACUUCUGUAUGCAUCUAAUUUUUUAAUAGAUAAACUAACUGUACUCCAGAGCCUCAAGCUAGACUCCAGGAAUCCACACACACUAUUUAGAUGCCAUGAUAUUUCUGACACAGUAUGCCUUCCCGCUCCCAUACUCUGAGAAGUCAGAAUAUUAGAAAAGUAGAUUUAAGGGUGUUAGAUAUUUUGUAGGUUUUUGCAAUGUUUUAAAAAUAUCUUCCCUGUAAAUGUAAUUAACUGGGUGGCUUCUGAUGGCUUUGAAAUGACCCACUACCUAUGAUGUCUAAUCCUCAGUGGGAGAGUUUCACUGUGGGCCAAUUACUGAUGCCAACAGAGAAAAUGCUCUUCUAAUGGCUAGUCAGAGGACUGCUGUUAGUUAGGCAUUUCAGAAGUAUUUUAAUGUUUUUUAAUCUUUGAAAAAGUCUAGAUCUACACAUGCAGGGCCUACCUGGAAGUGUUUAAAUUCAGCUUUAAGCCCCAGUUUGCUCUAAACUGGAGAAUUAAGUUAAA
rnacentral:lncRNA from 1 species